CAGGUGGUGCAUGGUUGUCGUCAGCUCGUGUCGUGUAGGAUGUUCGGUUAAGUCCGCUAACGAGCGCAACCCUCGUUUGUGUGUUACAAGUGUCACACGGUACUGCCGGUCUUAAGCCGGAGGAAGUGGGAUGACGUCAAGUCAGCAUGGCCUUUAUGUCCUGGGCUACACACACGCUACAAUGGCCAACACAAUAGGUUGCUAAGCCGCGAGGUGGAGCCAAUCCUCAAAGUUGGUCUCAGUUCAGAUUGCAGGCUGCAACCCGCCUGCAUGAAGAUGGAGUUGCUAGUAACCGCAGGUCAGCUAUACUGCGGUGAAUACGUUCCCGGGGCUU
rnacentral:rRNA from 1 species